rnacentral:rRNA from 1 species
CWUGCAUUUCGCGCGGUAGAGAGAAGCUUGCUUCUCUUGAGAGCGGCGGACGGGUGAGUAAUGCCUAGGAAUCUGCCUGGYAGCGGGGGACAACGUUCGUCAACGGAAGCUAAUACCGCAUACGUCCUACGGGAGAAAGCAGGGGACCUUCGGGCCUUGYSCUAUCUGAUGAGCCUAGGUCGGAUUAGCUAGUUGGUGAGGUAAUGGCUCACCAAGGCGACGAUCCGUAACUGGKCUGAGAGGAUGAUCAGUCACACUGGAACUGAGMCASGGUCCASACUCCUACGGGAGGCAGCAGUGGGGAAUAUUGGACAAUGGGCGAAAGCCUGAUCCAGCCAUGCCGCGUGUGUGAAGAAGGUCUUCGGAUUGUAAAGCACUUUAAGUUGGGAGGAAGGGUUGUAGAUUAAUACUCUGCAAUUUUGACGUUACCGACAGAAUAAGCACCGGCUAACUCUGUGCCAGCAGCCGCGGUAAUACAGAGGGUGCAAGCGUUAAUCGGAAUUACUGGGCGUAAAGCGCGCGUAGGUGGUUUGUUAAGUUGGAUGUGAAAUCCCCGGGCUCAACCUGGGAACUGCAUUCAAAACUGACUGACUAGAGUAUGGUAGAGGGUGGUGSAAUUUCCUGUGUAGCGGUGAAAUGCGUAGAUAUAGGAAGGAACACCAGUGGCGAAGGCGACCACCUGGACUAAUACUGACACUGAGGUGCGAAAGCGUGGGGAGCAACCAGGAUUAGAUACCCUGGUAGUCCACGYCGUAACGAUGUCACUAGCCGUUGGAAGCCUGAGCUUUUAGUGGCSCAGCUAACGCAUAAGUGACCGCUGGGAGUACGCGCAGUUAACYCAAUGAUGACGGGGCCGCCAGCGKGGACAUGGGGUAGUCGAAGCUACGC